CUGGCUCAGGAUGAACGCUAGCGGCCGGCUUAACACAUGCAAGUCGAGGGGCAGCGGGAUGUAGCAAUACAUUGCCGGCGACCGGCGGAUGGGUGCGUAACGCGUAUGCAACCUACCUUAUACAGGGGAAUAACCUUUCGAAAGGGAGACUAACACCCCAUAGUAUUGAUUUAAGGCAUCUUAGAUUAAUUAAAUAUUUAUAGGUAUAAGAUGGGCAUGCGUAUGAUUAGCUAGUUGGUAAGGUAACGGCUUACCAAGGCGACGAUCAUUAGGGGUUCUGAGAGGAAGGUCCCCCCACACUGGUACUGAGACACGGACCAGACUCCUACGGGAGGCAGCAGUGAGGAAUAUUGGUCAAUGGGCGCAAGCCUGAACCAGCCAUGCCGCGUGCAGGAAAGACGGCCUUAUGGGUUGUAAACUGCUUUUACAUAAGACUAACCGUAUAUUUGCGAAUAUACCUGAAUGUAUUAUGAGAAUAAGGAUCGGCUAACUCCGUGCCAGCAGCGGC
rnacentral:rRNA from 1 species